rnacentral:rRNA from 1 species
CAGCCGCCGCGGUAAUACAGAGGGUGCGAGCGUUAAUCGGAUUUACUGGGCGUAAAGCGUGCGUAGGCGGCUAAUUGAGUCGGAUGUGAAAUCCCCGAGCUUAACUUGGGAAUUGCAUUCGAUACUGGUUAGCUAGAGUGUGGGAGAGGAUGGUAGAAUUCCAGGUGUAGCGGUGAAAUGCGUAGAGAUCUGGAGGAAUACCGAUGGCGAAGGCAGCCAUCUGGCCUAACACUGACGCUGAGGUACGAAAGCAUGGGGAGCAAACAGGAUUAGAGACCCGCGUAGUCCCUGUCUCUUAUAA